ensembl:lncRNA
AUCUGUUUCAUGUGCCUUCAAGUCAAAGCAAAGCCUUACCAGUUCUUUUGUUUUUUUUUUUCCCUCUAUCUCUUUGGAUACAAAACAGAGUUUUAUGAAAAGGUAACAAGGAGAAGAAUUUCCUGUGAAUUUAGCAGCUCAACAUUUCUACAUGCAGAACUUCCCACAUCUGAACCAGAAACAAGAGCAUACGUCAGCCAGUGGAAAAGAGGAAAGAACUAGAUGAAAGAAAGGAAUGAGUGGUAAUUAUGUGAAAAUAAACUCUCCAUGGCUUUUUCUGGCUCUUAUGAGUACUCUUCUACUGUGCUAAAAAGGUAAUACUUCGCCUUUUUUGAAAUACACUUGGAGUCUAGCUCAUAAGAGUUGUAGUUACAGCUGCUAAGUAACAUUAUCUGCUAUUCUUAUUUGCUAUUAACAUUAUCAGAUAUCACCCCUGAUAAGAGUGUGAUACAAAUGCCAUGUUGUAUAAGUGUGAUGUAAUUAUGAUGUCUGUUCCAUUCCAUUUGGGGAGCAGAAAUGAAAGUAAGUAUCAAGGAAGUCAGGGAUAAACAAGCAAUGUGCUGAUAUUGCUGCUUUCUUUCCUGUGUGGCAGAUACCAGCACUAAUGUUUAUGUUUCUAUACACAUUUCUGUAGCCAAAAAAAAUAAGAAGCUCUCUACAUCUAAUUAAUUUUGCAGCCCUCUUCCCAUUUCUAGGAAAGAAGAGUCAUCAUGGAAAUGCAGACAGACAGUAAAUGAUUACAGGAUUCUCUUCAACAAUUUCACUGAAGCAGAUAAGUUUUGCAAGAAAACAGGAUGUGGAAAUAGAUUAGAAACUGGUUAAAGUGUAAAAAAAACGUUUUUAGAAGCUAUACAAAACUUGUUGCAGCAAGAUCUGGUGAAUGAUUAGCUAUUAUUUCAAAUAAUAGAACUAUAAUAAAGUUCAAGCAGUUUCAAGCUGAGAGCACCAGUUAAUCAACCCACCCACAAAUAAAUAAAUAAAUGAAAUCAAAGCUUUUCUUGUGGCUCCUACAGAAACUUUUGGGCUUUGACUCAAAUAGAGAAAAUACUACUCUCCUUCUCUGUCUUCAAAGGCUGGCUGCUGACAGCAAGGCUAUUCCACUCCAAAUACCUCAUGGCUAAAGGGAUACAUGAAGUUUUUAUAGGACCAAGACUUUAUGUUUGGCAGUCAAACCCUAAAAAAAGAAUGAGCCGCAGUUAUUCAGAAAAUAAUUUAGCUUAUCAGAACUCUGUCUCUGACUGAAGUCUAUACAGUGCUGUGAAAUAUAUCCUCACCUUGUACUACAAAAAAACCAAAGAUUUACUCCAUCUGCCUUCAAAUAAGAGGACCCUCAGGGAACAGAGGAGAAUUGGAAAAUAUUCCUGAGAUAUUAAGUAUUAAGGAAUUAAAACACAGAGGUGCAGAACGAGUGUGAGUGCAAGUACUGCAAAAUCACAGCCUAAUCAUGACAGAAAGCAGUUCACAUACAUCUGGUAUAGUAUGGGUCUCCUUUGGGUGGAGAGAGGAAAGGAGGGGCACAGAAUGACACUUCUCAGUCAUUCUAGUGAGUUUACUAGGAAUAUUAGAAAUGUCAGGCAGUUUUCAGUAAUAGUCUCAAAGUCCUAACAAAAAGCUGAAAUUUUAGUAAUUUUCUCUAAACACCAUUAGAGUGAUUUUCAAAUUUCUGGCAAAACAAAUUCAGAGUUCCUAAAUCCUGCAUAGGACCACAGCAGUCCGUUGGGUACACCAAAGCUUUCUGGUGCACACUCCAGCACAGCUACAGAGGUGAGGCUCCCAAGUUCACCGUCACAAAGCUCGCAGGCAUGUGGGCUGAGCCUCCUAACCAUCUAGAGAAGUCUAAGACUUGCACUCUCCCUGCUCUUCAGUACAACCUUGAAGUUCAUAGCACAGAUUCUUUAACACCGUUUAAGUAGACUACACAGACUUACAGAGGUCACAGUUUCCAAAAGUUUCCAAAAUUCAAAAGACAAAUCUGUCUCCCAAACACAAAAUUAUGAGAACAAUACCAGCUACUGGCUAAUCGUAUUCAUGAAGUCUUCCAAAAUAUUUCUGGUAUAUUUUAUUUUCAGAACAUCACGUUUUGACUUGUUAAAACUACGAGGUAUGUAUGAUCUGUAGGGAAAAGCUGAAAGGAACCAUAUAAAGUCUGAUAGGGAAUAGACAUAAAUAAAUAAGUGCUUAUCUUCUAUUUGCCUCUUCACAUACUCAUCCAGAAGGCAUGAAUGCUAGACAAACCAGAUCCCUUUUCCUUUCUCAACCCCAACCCAUGCAUGAUACCUUACUCCUUGUGACAUAUUAAAUGAAACCAUGAGUCAGUAAUUAUUUGAAGAAAGUCUUCUAAAUAAAAAAAACAACUAUUUUCCUGUUCCAAUAGCUGCUGCCUGGGUUAUUCUCUAUGCUGUAGAAGCUUUUUAAAAUUGAUAUAUUUACACUGAUGUAUAAAGCAAGCAGAAUGUGUAUCCAUGUAACACAUUAAAAAAAACUGCUUGAAAGUGUUAAUUAGCUUCUUUAAUAUCCCUUACAAUUAAUAAACUCUAGAGUGCAAGUAAGCAAGAAUAAGUUUUAGAAUACAUCCAGGAGGACGGAUGCUGGUCUUUUUCUUUACUGAGAGCCAAGCACAGAAAACGAAGUUGUUACUGCAACAGGGUUGUCACUGUGAUUCAGCUCAAGAGCCAUCUGUGUUCUUAUAGGUUAGGUAGUUAUAUCUACAAGACCAGAGUUAUGAAAAUGAGAGACAUUGUUUUUUGUAUGUUUUCCUGCAGGGAUAACUUACCUGUCACUAUGGAUCCAGAAAACUAGAAAUAGAAAAGCAUUUCUAGCUUUACCUGUUCAACAUUUCUUUUUGCCGAAAAGGCUACUGUGAUGGUAACAUCUUUUUGCAAGCAGUAGGCAACGGAGAAUAUCAUCAUCAGGGAAAUACUCAGUUUCUCAUGCAUAACCUACUGUGUAGUCCCCUUGCCUAACCAAUUUGUUUUGAAGAUAUCUACAUAGUACCUUAAUUGUGACAGAAUUCACUGCAUAUGUUGCAUUCCCUUAAUCUUCUAUGGCAUCACUUGAUACCUGGUGCACAAACGUACAAUUUUUCUCUUAUUACAAUGAGCAAAUAACAAAACCAUUGAAGUGUGCUUGGUCCUCACGGUUCUCAUGGCAUUAAAUUCAAGAUCAGCCCCCAUCACAGUUUUAGAAGAAAACUACAGUAUAUGGCUUAAAAGAAAAGAUUACCGUGCCUUUAAAUUGAAACAUUAUCCUCAUAUUUACUUGAAAUAAUGUUAGUUAGGAAUUUGAAAUGUAACAGUGUUCUUGUAAAUCCUGUCUCUUAUGAAAAACUUAAAAUACUACAGCAGUACAAGAGAUGUUGGGCAACUGCAUGUCUUACAGUUUCAAAUGACUACAAUUUAUAUUCCUUGCAUUUCCUUCACCUUGGGUAAGUAAAUGGCCAAUUUUUUAAAUUGUCAGGCUUCCCACAUGGUAAGCAUUAAAAUCCAACAAAAAUGUAGUCUGUCCAGAGUGCUCGUUUAUGCUUCAAAUACCUUUCUGGACAGUCAUCUCCUGAUUCAACCCUACACUUUGUUUGACUAUUUCCUGGGGAGAGGGCGGAAAAAAGAAGGGAAUAUGAGCACCCAGAAAUGUGGAAUAACAGGUCCCAGGGAACAUUACUCGGGCCAUCUCUCUUCCCUGAGCACAUGUUGGUAAAAGUUCAAAUAUCAAAUAAUCACCUUGAUGACUCUAUGAAUCUGUGAUCAGUUUAGCACAAUGUCUUCCAUGGAAUAUGCAACAGUUCUAAAUUGUCAGCAAAUAGCACUCAGACAUGUCUAUUUUCUGGCUUCUUCUAAUGCAAUCUUACCUUCUAAGAGGAGAGGAUCAAACUGAUGCAGCGGUAUACUUCAGAAACAUCAAAAGGAGACAGAAACAGUUACCUAGCCACAAAGGCAGGCAGGAAGGAUGGCAUUAUAUACUAGACCAGCCACAGGAGAUGCCUUUGAGCCCUUCAAAGAGAAGAACACCAAGAAAGCACAUAUCCACAGAAGGCCAGAUGAGUGCCCCAUCUGACUUCAUGAGGAUCCCAGGCAAGUAUGGUAUAGCUUAGACAAGUCAUUUUGUCAGAACUUAGGCAGUGUGAAAAUAAGCCAACCCAGGCAGGUUGGCUUACCAGACAGGUAACUGUCCCUCUUAGGCUUUUGAACAAUCACAACGCCACAUGUCUAAUGUAAAUUUGUAUGUGAAACACUGCCUGUUCCUGUCACCAACCUCAGCUUCAAAACAGAGCCCUGGGCAAAGCUGGGCUCAAGUCUAAGAGUAGCAUUCUUGAGACAUGCUGUACCACAGCCUGUGGUAAUACAAGUACAGUGCUAGUGCAGAAAGGAGCGGUUUAUUUUCAGCCCUGCUCUUACUUUGUUUUCUUUGAUUCUGUUAGUAUCCAUCAUAUGCACCAUGAAUCUAACAGGUUGUGCAAGUGAAAUUUCCAGCCACCAGAACAUGUAUACAUUUCUACUUAGUUUAAGAUAGCAUUACUCUCCUAUAUAAAUACCCAGAAAAAACUCAGUGCUCUUGUAAAGAGAAGACAGUUGUAAUGUAUCUAUGUUUUGAGGCUUAGAAUACAAAUUGUCUUUUGUCUUUCCCUUCUUUCUUAGACCUGAAUUCUCUUUUAACACAUACUGCAAUUGUUCCCUGUUGUUCACUGAACUAUGUGAUAAAGUCCUAAUCUGGCACUUCAGACUCCAAUUAAAAUGGAAGAAAACUUCAAUAAAAUUAGAAGACAAAGUGCUAAGAAAAUAUGGCCAAAGGCAGAGACUGUAUUUUGACAGCAAAAACACAGUGCUACAUCUUCAAGCUAGCUAAAUAGGAACCAUCUGGUUAUUCCUGAAGUGCAGUUUCACCAGCAUCAAUACAUCUGCAAACUGGACCUUCAUUUAGGAUUAAACGAUAUAGUCUCCAAAUCAUACACAUUUACUUGCAUCUGUGCAAUUAAUCCUACUUAUAUCUUUAGAAGCAUUUAUAUUUAGUGAGCAAAAAAAUGUGAUUGAAGUAUUUAAAGAGAAUAAAAACACAGUACUAAUAAUGAAUUGUGCUAAAAACAUACUCUUUGGUGUUAUCACUUGAGUAUUUCUAUCAGCUAAUAUAUGAAUAUCAAAGACAAAGGCAAAUCCCCAAGUUAUCCACUGAGUCCUGUCCAAAUGAGAAAAGACUAGACCCACUGUGCCAUGAAUUUUCCAUUGUUUCCAUUUUUAUUCGCUACUCUCUUUUCAUCUCUAACUACAUGAUAAACUGUGUUCAUUCAAUUACUGAAAUCCAGCUGGUUGAAAUGAAUCCAGUUGGGCUUUAUCAUCUUUUGAACUUCUUUUUAGAGAGGUUUUUAAUGACUGUAAGAACUGUUGUUCUUACAUGUCUCUUUCACUUACAUGAGAUAAUGCAAGGUUAUCUUUGUGAAAUCAAUACAAGCCUGACCCAAGUUCAAUGGCACGCAAACUCCCAGGAGGGAAAAACACAUUGCUUACGUAGUGAGAACACUCAGUGUUCAUUUUGCUACUUUCUAAUAGCCUUUUACUUAAAGGCUGUAAAAACCGUCUUGAACAGAACCAGAUGUUUACAGAAAUUCUCUCUGAUUACUGUCCAAGUGAAACCAUCUUCUUCUCUUUCACCAGACUCCCUUUAUCAUUAAAUAAUGCAUUGAAAUGGAAGUAUAGAGCAUGUGAUGAUUGCCAGAAUUAAACAAGGGGCAGAUGGUAAGAAAACCAAAUCAGUAUUUUAUAGCUAUUUUGUUAUCCAGUCUCUCUUUACAAAUUCUACAAUUCAUAUUUUGAUCCUGAAAGUGCAUGUUGAUUCAUUAUAGAUCCUUUACAGGUCAUUUAAGCACAGGUUUCUUUACUUUUUUUUUUUUAACACUUUGCUAUGACCAGAUUUCCUUUUUUGUUUCUGGGGUUGAUAUGGGCAGGCCAGGAAGAGGAGGAAAAAUCCCCCUUGCUUAUUCCCACAAUGCGUACUUCUGUGGAAGACAAACAUUCCAUUACAACAAAUCUCCCAGUUCCAGAGAACUUGGACUGUUGAGAUGUGGCAGAUUAUCCCUUGGAAAGAUGAUUCCAAGUGUCUACGUAAUAUAAAAUGCAUACGGCACUGGAGUAUACAGUAGUUUUACUUGCCAAAUAAAAGAACACAUUGUUUUGAUCUUCAAAGAAAUUCCUAAAGCCAUGGUAAACUGCAAUGAUCCAGCUCAGAAUUCACAAACGCAUGUAUUACUACAGCAAGCAAUUAGCAGGGGAUUGGAAAUAGGUGAUCUUUGAGGUCCCUUCCAACCCAAACCAUUCCAUGAUUCUGAAUCAAAGUGAAAGUAGCAUUGACUCUUUAGCCAUGUAAUCAAACAAGGCUUCUCAUGCCGUAAGAAGUCAUUGGAGAUGACUUAAAGCAUCAGCAAAGCUCUCCAAAAAUGCACCAACUCAAAUUAAAAGAGAAAAAGAAUUGAGUUAAUUUUCUUGAAAUGUACUUCAAGCUUCUCUAUUUUUCUUCUGAGACUAAUCUCAACAGGAUUCAAUCUAAACUCCAUAAAGAGAUUGACCCCUGACCUGCAGUCAAAGGAAUGUGAUUUGCUUAUGUAAACGUCAAUGAGUCCUCAUUUUCUAACAUUCAAUUUGAAAUAUUCUGUAGAAAAAGCCUUAAUUGUGGACACAAUUCAGCUCAAUAAAUACUUCCUAUGUUUGUUUUAA